CCUACGGUGCGCAGCAGUGGGGAAUAUUGGACAAUGGGGGGAACCCUGAUCCAGCGACGCCGCGUGAGUGAAGAAGUAUUUCGGUAUGUAAAGCUCUAUCAGCAGGGAAGAAAGAAAUGACGGUACCUGACUAAGAAGCCCCGGCUAACUACGUGCCAGCAGCCGCGGUAAUACGUAGGGGGCAAGCGUUAUCCGGAUUUACUGGGUGUAAAGGGAGCGUAGACGGCGAUGCAAGUCUGAAGUGAAAGGCGGGGGCCCAACCCCCGGACUGCUUGGGAAACUGUAUGGCUGGAGUGCAGGAGAGGUAAGUGGAAUUCCUAGUGUAGCGGUGAAAUGCGUAGAUAUUAGGAGGAACACCAGUGGCGAAGGCGGCUUACUGGACUGUAACUGACGUUGAGGCUCGAAAGCGUGGGGAGCAAACAGGAUUAGAGACCCUGGUAGUC
rnacentral:rRNA from 1 species